GAGGGGAUAGCUCAGUGGUAGAGUGCAUGCUUAGCAUGCAUGAAGUCCUGGGUUCAAUCCCAAGUACCUGCA
rnacentral:tRNA from 1 species